CCUACGGGAGGCAGCAGUAAGGAAUAUUGCGCAAUGGGGGCAACCCUGACGCAGCAACGCCGCGUGGGCGACGAAGGCCUUCGGGUUGUAAAGCCCUUUUCGGAGGGACGAGUAAGGACGGUACCUCCGGAACAAGUCUCGGCUAACUACGUGCCAGCAGCCGCGGUAAAACGUAGGAGGCAAGCGUUAUCCGGAUUCACUGGGCGUAAAGCGCGCGCAGGUGGCAUGUCAAGUCGGACGUGAAAUCUCCCGGCUCAACUGGGAGGGGCCGUUCGAUACCGGCGGGCUUGAGGGCAGAAGGGGAAGGCGGAAUUCCCGGUGUAGUGGUGGAAUGCGUAGAUAUCGGGAGGAACACCAGUGGCGAAGGCGGCCUUCGGGGCUGACCCUGACGCUGAGACGCGAAAGCCGGGGGAGCAAACCGGAUUAGAUCCCCGGGUAGU
rnacentral:rRNA from 1 species